AUCUACAGCCAUGCCACCCUGAACGUGCCCGAUCUCAUCUCAUCUCAGAAGCUAAGCAGGAUCAGGCCUGUUUAGUGCUUGAAUGGGAGACCACCCAGGAAUACCAGGUGCUGAAGGCA
rnacentral:rRNA from 1 species